rnacentral:rRNA from 1 species
UUGUGGACCCACCUGAUUCCAUGUCGAACUCAGAAGUGAAACACAAUAGCGCCGAUGGUAGUGUGGGGCUUCCCCAUGUGAGAGUAGGACAUCGUCAGGCU